UACGUAGGGUCCGAGCGUUGUCCGGAAUUAUUGGGCGUAAAGGGCUCGUAGGCGGUCCGUUGCGUCGGGAGUGAAAACUCAGGGCUUAACCCCGUGCCUGCUUCCGAUACGGGCAGACUAGAGGUAUGCAGGGGAGAACGGAAUUCCUGGUGUAGCGGUGAAAUGCGCAGAUAUCAGGAGGAACACCGGUGGCGAAGGCGGUUCUCUGGGCAUUACCUGACGCUGAGGAGCGAAAGUGUGGGGAGCGAACAGG
rnacentral:rRNA from 1 species